AAUGGCAACUGAAAUUUGCAUUUUGUUUAGGUAAGUCUUUUGACUGAAAAUGGAAACACCAAGGAUGAUUUGAGGCUCCCCACUGAUGAUGCUCUGCUCCCCACUGAAAAUUCUAGCCAUGACUGGUCAUUGACAGGUCAUUUGGCUUUGAUACUGUUGUUGAGGAAGCUCAGCGAGCCAUCAAUGCUGUGCAUGUUGAAGCUGAAAGUGUUGAGAAUGGUGUUGGUGUAGUGAAGCUAAUGGGCCGCUACAGUGGCUUCAUUGCAAUGUAUGCUACACUUGCCAGCCGAGAUGUGGACUGUUGUUUGAUUCCAGAAUCACCCUUCUUUCUGGAAGUGGUAGUGGAUGUAAUAGAUAUUGGUGAACAUGUUCUAAAACUCGUUAAUUUUGUUGUUUGGUGAAUUUUUAUCAGAAAUGUUGGAAAAGGCAAUAGCAACUCCUCCAACUGUUUCACCAAUAUGGUGUUCCCCAUUACUUGAGGCUUUCAGAACAAAGGAGAAAGAAACUCCAAGCAAAGGAGGCUGAAUUGAGGAGGAGGGAGCAGGAUGUUUACAUGUACUUCCGUGGCAGUGGCAAAGCAGCAGAGAUGAAGCGUGAGGCUGCAAAACGGACAAUGAUGGCUGCACUGCCAUGAUUCAGAAAGAUUCUUUGGUUUGAUAAUGCUGAGAGAAAUCGAACAUUCACUAUUUUUUU